CCUUCUCCUUCUCUCGCUCUCUCUCUCUCUCUCUCUCUCGUUCGUUCCUCUUCCUCGUCCUUGCUCGAUUCUUGCUUCUUCGUGUUCGGAGAAUUUUGGGGGGCCUUUGAGCCUGUUCGCAUUUACGAUUGCUUUCGGCCUCGGGCAGGAAGCAUCCGAUCUAGAGCUGGCGUGAGCGACACGGAAUCUCCCGUUUCCGGCGACUUCGUACCGAUUCUUUGGGUUUCCCCUAUCCGGAUACUGAUUGUGAGAGUGAUUAGAGUCUGAUGUCAUUUGAAUCAGAUGAAUACAAUGUGCCAAUCAUUUCUUGCGAAACAGGCAACAUCAGUGAAUAUCAACCUGAGCGCUGUAGGUCCUGUCUGGAGAAGUAUGGUCAAGAGGUCUUAACGAUGAAUGGCUUAAGUCCCUAUGCCACUCCUCCUCUAAGUCCUAUGUCAAGCUAUGCGAGUUGUUCUUCAAGCUUUGGUGAUAUCUGGACUGGUUUGAAUUUGCAGGGCAGGGAGGACGGAUGUGGUGUUAUAGAUACUGGUGAAAAACAUAGAGGUAAAAGUAUCGAGGCUUGUUUUACCAGGACCAGUGCAGAUGGCUCUGGGCAUCACAUUUUAACUGGAAAAAAUUUAUCAUCCAGUUCAUUAGACAGUAAUGAAGAGGAAAACAAACUUGUCAAUCACAUUCUGGAUGAUGUUCAAGCCAAAAGUGUUGGUCUUGACUCAUUUAAGGCGGCGGAUCUGGUUGAUAAUGAUAGUCCUACAAUGUUACCUAAUUUUGAAACUGAUCCUGGCAUCUGGGACCCGCCUGAACCAGAAUGCAUGGAAGAUGACGAGCCCAGCAUUGCCGAUAAUUAUGAAGAUGAUGAAUACGGUAGUACUGAGUGGAAACAGCCAAGCUCCUUGAGCAUUUUAGAUGAACAACAAGGGAUCAACCACAGUUUUAGAGAAAAAAGACAAAAGGCAAUGUUGGAAGAAAUGAACAGACAGUUCAAGGUUCUUGUAAGUCGUUUUUUGGCAUCUGAAGGAAUUUCUUUUUCUGGUCUAGACGAUGGUCAGAGUUGGCUAGACAUUGUUGCUUCCUUAUCAUGGAAAGCUGCACUGCUUGUCAAGCCUGAUGCUACUGAAGGAAGGGCAAUGGAUCCUGGAUCCUAUGUGAAGGUGAAAUGCGUUGCAUCUGGUAGCCGGCAUCAGAGUGAGCUGAUCAAGGGUUUAGUUUUCAAAAAGCAUGCUGCCCAUAAACACAUGCCAACCAAGUUCAAAAAUCCUAAACUCCUACUGCUUCAGGGCGCCCUUGGCCACUCUGCAGUUGGUUUGUCAUCAUUUGAUUCAAUGGGACAGGAAAAGGACUAUUUGAGGUCCCUCGCUGAGAUGAUAGAAGCUUGCCAUCCAAAUGUGGUUCUGGUGGAGAAAAAUAUUUCCCGUGACAUACAAGAAUCUCUUACAGAGAAAGGAAUAACUGUGGUGUCUGAUAUGAAGCUCCAUCGCUUGGAAAGGAUUUCUCUUUGUACUGGUUCUCCUAUCAUUUCUUGUGCCAAUUUUCCGGCAAAAUUGAUACUGCCACAAUGUGACUCCUUCCAUAUCGAAAGGUUUGUGGAGGAAUGUAACAAUAUUAGUGAAGGUGGAAGGAAGCCAAGCAAAACCUUAAUGUUUCUAGAGGGAUUCUCAAGACCUUUGGGCUGUACAAUACUGCUGAAAGGAGCUCAAAGUGAUGAACUGAAGAAGAUUAAGCAAGUAGUUCAGUAUACAGUCUUUGCAGCAUACAAUUUGAUCCUUGAAACUUCAUUCUUGGCAGAUCAAAGAUUGCUUUUAUCUGAUAAGAAUGCUGUAAGAGAACGAAGUGCAAAUUUUAGGAGUAGACCGGUACUCUCAAUUAGUUCUGAUGCUACAAAGUAUUCAGAUAGUCUUGAAGGUUGCCUAUCUACUGUCGCUUCAGAAAAUGCACUAGAUGUUCCCAUAUACAAUGAAUCAUUAGGUAUAAUAAAUGAUACAGCUUUCUCUGCCUCCCAAGAUACAUCAUUAAAUUCUGAACUUCUACAUACGCUCUCUGACAAAUCCAGCAGCAUUGGCAUGCUUAUGUUAUUGUCACCUCUUCAACCUCAGCUAUUGUUAUCACCUCUCUCUGCCUCCCAAGAAAAAUUCCAAGGAGUCAAUUUUCAACCCCUCAAAUCUAACCAUGAAUCUUCACGCUUUUUCAUGAAUAACAGACCUUUUGAUGGUCCAAGUAUUGGCCCCCAUACGUUGUUGGAUGUAUCCGAUCAUGAAAACCCAGUAAGUUCUGAUGUUAGUGAAGAAAAGAUAGAUGAAGUUCUUUAUUUUAAAAAGACUGGACCAGCUAGAGAUUCAACUCAAGGUAUUGACACUGAUGCUUGUAGCACUGUUGAAAGCAAACCUCAGGAUGAUAUGGAGAGUGUAUUAAAUUCCCAGAGCAUUGUAGUUUUGCUUUCUAAACAGUGUACAAUAAAAGGAGUCAUUUGCAGACAUAGCCAUCUUUCUCGCAUAAGAUAUUAUGGGCACUUUGAUGUAUCACUUGGACGAUUUCUGAGAGACAUUUUGCUUAAUCAGAAGAGUUGUUCUUCUUGUGGUAAACCACCAGAAGCACAUAUGUACUCUUACACCCAUCAGAAUGGGAACCUAAGUGUGCAUGUCAGGAAACUUCCUCCGAUGUUACAUUUGCCAGGUGAAGCUGAAGGAAAAAUUUGGAUGUGGACCCGUUGUUUGAGAUGUAAGGAUGGAAGUGGGAUUUCCACAAGGAGGGUGGUCUUGUCUAGUUCAGCACGUUAUCUUUCAUUUGGGAAGUUUUUGGAGCUCAGCUUUUCAUGCCAUUCUGUGGCUAGACUAUCAGAAUGUGGACAUAUGCUGCACAGGGAUUUUCUUCGGUUUUUUGGAUUAGGAUCCAAGGUGGCAGUGUUUGUCUAUUCAUCAGUUAAGAUCUAUGCUGCUUGUAAGCCACCACCAGUCUUGGACAUCAAUAAUCCAAAAAGACAAGAGUGGCUCAGGAGAGAAAUGGAAAUUCUUCUUUAUCGAGGACGCGGAUUAUUCUCCGAAGUUUCAAACUUGUUGCAGAACUUGAAGCCUAUAUAUUCUGGCACACUUGCAAAACAAUGCGUGGAAGUUUCAGGUUCACUCAAAAACUUAUCUGAAGUUGAAGAGAUGCUGAUACAGGAAAAGGCUGAAUUUGAGGCUCCUUUGCUGAAGGCAGUAGAUCAUAGUGGACAAAUUGAGAUCACUCCACAUGAGAUUCUUGGACUAAAGUGGCUAUAUCAGGAGCUCCUUUUUGAGUUGUAUGUUUGGGACUGCCGUUUGGGUCGCCUUUUGCAGCAUACAAAUUUUCAACAAGGAAAAGAUAAACUUGUACAUGAUGAUGAAGUCCCCAAGCUGCCUAGUCAUGAAGAUGAACCACCCUGUUUCACUGGUAGCCAUCAUGCACAAGACAUGAAUAUUAAUCUUGAUAUAGAAUCAACAGAAGCUUCCAUCGUAACAAGCCAUAGCUACUAUAAGCUUCUUGAUAUUGGACCUGUUGAGGUGGAGCAGUCAACUGAUCUGCCAUCACCUUCUGAAGGUAAGCAGAGUUGUCAGGUAGUACGUGUACCUAUAUCUGGUGAUCUACAAUUCGACCACUCUAUACAAAUUGUAGAAGAACCAUAUAUUGAAAAGAAAACUGAUGUUGAGCUUAAGAAGGAUGAAAAAGUUGCUGGUGGUGAAAUACUUGCUGCGUCACUGUCGAACGAGCAUUCGAACAUUUUAGAUGACAUUUAUGCAAAAUCAGAAGGUCCAGAAGAAAUGAUCUGGACUUCAUUUUCUGAUCUGAAAAGAGAAUACAGAAGGGACCUCCAUAGUGGUUCAUUACAUAAGUUUGAAUUUGUUAAUACCUAUAGUCCAUCUCACCUGUCUCCUAUUUACCAGCCAUCUAGUGGUGAAAUGGACUUGUUGCACUAUUCAGUUGGUCCUAACGGUAACAUUAUGUCUGCUUCCAAGGAUGAGAUAUCAAGCAUAAUUGCAUGUGGACUAGCUAUAUUAGAAGAUCAGCAUGGCUUGUUAGACAGGGUUGGAAAAGAAUCAGGGGAGAUACAUAAAUCUUAUAGCUUGACAUCUGUGAAUUCUGAAAUUUGUACAUAUUGGUCUUCCGUUGGAUAUUCAGAAUCUGGAAUCAAUUUGUCACGAGGUGCUUCCUCACUUUCAUUUGAUGAGUCAUCUACCUCCAUUUCUGAUGGUUCAUUAUCUGUUAAUCAACUGCUACCUUCAGAAAAUCUGCAUCCUGAAGUCACUGUGGGAAUAGAGAAGGUUUCUGGGAAAAGUAUAUUCUCAGUAGUUUGUAUAUAUGCAAAGCAAUUCUAUAAACUUAGAAAGAAAUAUUGUCCUUCUGAACUUUCCUACAUAUGUUCCCUAAGCCGUUGCAAGAAGUGGGAUGCUCAAGGUGGGAAGAGUAAAGCUUUUUUUGCGAAGUCACUGGAUGACAGAUUCAUAAUUAAACAAAUCAAAAGGACAGAACUGGAUUCCUUCUUAAAAUUUGGUCCUGAUUAUUUUAAGCAUGUUUUUCACUCACUAGAUUCAGGGAGCGAUACUUGUCUCGCAAAGAUCAUGGGAGUAUAUCAGGUCCAGCAAAACAUUGGUGGCAAGGAAAUCAAAACUGAUCUUAUGGUGAUGGAAAAUCUACUUUAUGGGCAUAAAAUUUCACGAACAUAUGAUCUCAAGGGCACUGUCUUUUCUCGGUACAUUCCAGAUGCAAAGCAUGGUGAAAAAGUUCUUUUGGAUCAGAACUUCGUGGAGGACAUGGAUAAAUCUCCCAUUUAUGUUAGUGGGAAGACUAAACAUCUUCUGCAACGUGCCAUUUGGAACGAUACAUCUUUUCUUACUAACAUCUAGCAGGUAGUAGAAUCGGUGCUUGUCAUUUGUAAUUUCAAGUUAUUUGAGAAGGUCACCACAUCUUAUCGUAUUACAUUAUGUGCACAAUCAUCAAAUGUGAUUUUCCUUCAUUAAGGUAAUAUCUUAUGUUACAGUUGUAUGUUUGCAGCAUACCUCAUUUAUAUUAGACUUAUAUGAUUUUCAAGUGAUGCUGGUUGGUAAAGCCUACUGCUGAGUUUUCAUACCACCGCAUCGACAAAUUGCCAAUUAAUGAGCUUAAUCACCAUGGCAUGCUUGGUAUACCCAAGAAAGAACAAAAUUAACACAUCUUGUUGGCUGUCCUUGUCCUUUUAUUGUUCUUUUUUCUUAUAUUCUUAAGAUUAGCAAAGACAAGAUUUUAUCAGUUUGUAACUUUGGUGACUUAAUUUCUUAUGCUGCUUUAGGUGCUGGAGAGUUCAAAGGAUUCCACUUCUUGGAGCUGCAGUAUCAAUCAUUCAGUUGAUCAGGGCUUCAGGUGAUUUGGCUCUGAUGACUAUUGAGCUUGUCUGGUUUGGUGAUGACAUUUUUCAUAGAGCUGUUGAGCAGGAUCAAUGUUGAAAAGGUAGGUGCUCAGAGGUUUUUGCUUGUUUAAAAAUCUUUUGGAGGUAUGUUUCCUGGCGCUGCACCUGAUAUUGUUACAAUUAAACAAUAUAUAGCAGUAACACAGGCAUAAUAUUAAGAGUAAGCAUUAGGCAUUCUCACAUACAGCCUUUACUUGCAAUGCAAAAGACAUGCUAUUUAAUAGAAGCAAAAACAGAAAUAUAGUAAAAAUUAUAAAUAUGGGUAAUUAAGAUAAAAUAAAGUUUUUGCGAGUAAGAAACAUAAAUAUACAGAAAAAACAAUAUACAUUAAGGGCAAGUAAUCUAUAAUAGCAUACUGAUUUACCAUCUUUGGGAGUAAGUAUAUCCAUAUAUAAUUGGUCUAUAUUUAUGACUACAUAUUAAUCUGGCCCUAUUCAUCUAUUUAAGAACAAGGAAUGAGUCAAUUGAAAUUGAGUAAUAAGGAUGUAUAUGCUUAUAUUAGCUUCAAUCUGCUAGCUUGUUAAGAUAUCUUCAGCAAAUUGGCUUAUAGAGCUACUGGGUCAGACUGAGAAUUGGGUUGAUGAUUUAAGGUAAUUUUUUCUUUCUUUCUUUUUAUUCUCAGAAUAAUAUUUAGUUGGUUCCAACUUCCAAGCCAACUUGAGUACUUGACUCCACCUUUAAGAUUUUUGUAACCCACACUCUAUUGGUGAACCAGUUUAAAAGUGUCGGGUUGGAUUGACUUGAUGGGUUUGAGUCAAGAUCUUUACUUCUAGUGUCUCUUUUUUUCAUUUGGAACAAAAAGAAGAAAUUUGAUUUUGAAUACACAAGGAAUAGGCAAAAGAACAUUUGAGAACAACAAGCAAGCAGUUCAAUCAUGAGGCCCAAGGGCCAUCACCUUUUCCCCAUGGACAUUUUCCUUCUUUUUGAAUUAUUGCAGGAACUCUUAACACAUUGCUAGAUGUCACUUUAUGUAAUUUUCUUCUUGAUUUAACUUGGCUGCGUUCCAAUCAUGCACACAUGAAGUCUCAAGAAGGACCUGUGCCAUAUGAAAGUGGUUCCAGCUUCACAGGUAGUAAGCUUAUAGCAGUAGCGGGCUGCACUGGUUGUCAUUUGGUAGGACUUCAGAGUCAUCCAUGUUGGAAGAUAUCAGGAUCGUGUCUAGAUUUAUGGCCCAUGAAGCUAAGAUAUUUGAAGGAAAAGUCUUUUGUUUCAUAUGCUUAGCGAUCUGCAAUACAUUGUUAUUGGUGGAUUGGUCAUAGUGAUGCCUGCAUCAAGUUCUUAUCAUUGAUUUCAGCAGAGAAUUGGCUUCUACAUUGCAUCAUAAUGGCCUUUGAUGAUGCAGCCGGGCAAGAAGAUGCUACCUUUGUUGUUUUUGUUUCCAUAUCUGAGAUGUUUUAUAACAUAAUGCAGGUAAGUUUUGUGCUGAUGAGCUAGAUAUCACGUUCCAGGGGAUCAAAUUUCUCUAUUUUGAAUUCCUACGGUACAUUACUAAUUCAUGUAUUCCCAUGUAGUCUCAUCAGAUAUCUGAAAGUCUACCAUCCAAGGAAGGCAUCUGCUAGCAGGCACCAUCCUCUAUAGACAGCUCGUACAAAGGAUGAGAACUUGUGCAGUUUUCUUCUUCAGGUACUUCCUCUAAAUAUGGCUUUGUUGCUUCCAGUUCCAACCUGCUUUUGCUGAUGGAUGCUUCUGGUUGGAUUUUUGGAUCCCCUUCCGAGUAGGUAAAAAUCAAAGCAUUGCUCAUGAUGAAAUAGCGGUUGUUAUUCUUAUCAUAAUUAUCAUUAUAUGAAACACCUCUUCUAGGCUAACAGUAGUAUACCAGAGGAGAUACGGUGUAAUUUGGUAAGAAAAAUAAGAGAGAUUGUAUCAUUUUCCUUUGAUGAAUCAAAGUAUCACAAUGACAAAGAAUUUUUCAAGGUGAGAUUUUCUUUUUCAGUUUGUCUGUUUUAUCUUUUGUUACAAUGCAAAAUCGACUGUGUUAUAUAGCUUUGUCCCAUUGGAAUGCAGAGACUUGAUAUUACAAUAUGAUGGUUGCUUCUUUGUUCGAGUUAGCAUAUAUUAUUGCGCAGCUGUGAGUUAUUAUAUUCGACUCCAAUCCAGGUAGAAAUGUUUUGCAUGAAAUAUAUUUUGUCUCAUCUGUUUUCCAUCGCUCCUUUUUGGCAUCUUCCUCUGUGCUAAAAGAGUUAUCUUUCUGAAGCCCUUUUUAAGGCGUGAACAGUAGGGAGAAAGGACAGAAACAGUGAGGACUAAAGAAACCAAUAGAAGACUCUUUUCUCUCACUUCUGUUCUUUCAUCCCGAUGCUUAUUAAUCUAAUGCAGUGAAAGGCUGUGUGAUUCAUGUGCGUGGGCCUGAACAGCACAACAGGUUGCACCCGUGAAGGCAGGAAUCAUGCGGCCAAUUACUCGGGGAAAAAGGCAAGCUGGUUGCUGUGAGAUGAUGUGACUUGUGAUCCUUUCUUUUGUUUUCUUCUCGUCUUUUCUGGUGCCUUGGCAUGUGGACUUGUGAUUUGAUAGGGUGUCGAAUCUCUAGCAGCAACGCUGGUUGCGUAUGCUCUCGUGGAAUAUUUGGGGACCUGAAGUUGUACCGCAGCUUUUGGAGAAUCCAUCAACUGCAGGAAAUUGGAUCAUCAUGCGAUGCAGCUGCUGGAAGAAACAUUGAAGUGACUAUGUAAUUUUUGUCUUAUAGUUGAGGAUUGCUAUCUUUUCGUGAGGUCUCUUAUUAUAUUUUUGUUUCAUAUAUAUAUUCAAUAGAGAGACAGAAUGUUCCAUUUUAUAUAAUUAUAGUAAAGGAGUGACACAAGCGUUCAUGUUC